rnacentral:lncRNA from 1 species
UAGUGCCUGGCACCUUAGCCAUGAAGAGAGCGAAGAUGAGAAUGAGACCCAGCCUCUCUGAGAUACCUGCUGUUGGUCAAGUGCUGGGACAGCCUGAGGAUAAUCAGAGGAUGCUAGCAGGCUGGGGUUUGUGUGGAAGAAUGAAGCAGAAGCUGAUGCAAGCACAACUCCUGAGUAUCCAUGGGGCUCUGAUGAUGCUAUCCCA